AUGUCUCGACAAAAGCAGAAUUUGCUGUGGCUGAUGAUCAUCUGUUGUGCUCCGUGCCAGAUAAAUACAGCCGGCUCAAACAAUGUGAAAGUCAACAUCCAAGUCAAUUCUACAGAUCAGUGUUUCUGGAACAGAAGCAGCUCACCAUAUCCAGCUAUAAAUCUGACAUGUCUAUCAUAUGAUGAUAAACAGAAAUGGAAUGUUGACAUAAUGAAUGUCAAACUAAACAUUUCUUCUGACGGACAAUGCACAACAUACAGUUUCAACAUAACAAAACAGGGGGAGCAUUAUGAAGUCACAAUGAAUGAGAUGGUUGAAGAAAACAAAAUAUAUUUUAUGCCAGAUAAAUGCAAAUGUUUGCCAGAUCCGAUUACAGUAGGUGUGUGUCAUCUUACAACAGAAGCAGCAUUAGUGUUGAAGGGUGUGGGUGUGGUUCAUUGUUUUUUAGGGAAAAUGCAAAACUUCCCUUACACACACACACACACACACUCAUACAUCCACAACACAACAAAUAAGUGUCCUUUGUUUUCAUGGUUGAUCAUUGCUGUUAUUGAUGAUAACGUCAUCACUGCUGACCAAUCAGUGCACACCAAUAGAUCCUAACACACACAAGACUGAAAUGAUCAGCUGUUUGAAUAUUAUGUUAAUUAACAGUCUGUAUGUUAAUUUUCAUGUAAGGACUGUAAUCAGUUCCUGAGUUUGUAAGAGCAGGUAUCAUGGUACAACAAUUUUAGUUUCUGAAUAGUUUCAAAUAUUUUAUAUUAUUAUAAGUUAUUAGUUUUUUUUUUUUUUUUUUUUUUUUUAGUUUUGAUGUGAAUAAUAAUCUCUUACCUUCUGCAUGAUCCACAUCAGGUCAUCCUGAGAAUUGCCAGACAAAGUUUGAUGACCUCCUUAAAUUUAUAUGCCAACAGAAAGGUAAGAGUUUGUCCACUUUAGUUGUGUUGUGUUUGUUUAUGUGUUCAAUUAGUGCAGGACAACCUUGUUUAACUGGGCAAGUGUAAAUGUGCAGCAGUUGUGUAAGAGUAAACUGAUGACAUGAAAAUAAACUUACAUAUAGGAUAAAGUGUAUGCAGACAAAAAGAAACUUCGACAUAAAACUAUAUUAUGUUAGUAGCCUACCAAUUAAUUUGAGUCAGUACAUUUGAUCCAUUUUAUAUUUUGAUCAAAAUGCCACAAUAUAUGGUUAAAAAUGAAUUAUGAAAAAUAUGGGCUGUUCACACAGAAAGCCAUUUUGCAUUUUUCUGCACUGCUUUUUACGUUUUAUUCAUAGAAACAUGCACGAGACCAGCUCUUAAGGCGAGUUUAGUGUACAGAUUCAUGAGGACUACAUGCAAAAAGAAUAUGGCUCAUUUAAAAAACAAUGACUCUUUACUUCAGUGUUUCUGUCAGCUAUUUCUGUAGUUGUCAAACUUCCAAUGAAAGCAAAGCGUCUUGCAUCCAGACUCACGAUAAUAACCAAAGUUACUAAAACCUGCCACGGCAUCCAAAAUAGGCAAGCACACAAUUUAUGAGUAUCUUCCGUGGAAAAUAACUGAAUGGCUGAGCAGAUGACAUUAAAUAACAUAAAAUUAUAUUUUGUGUUGACUGAAAUAGUAAUAUUAAUAAUAAUAAUAACAACAACAACAUUUAUAUCAAUAAUAAUAGUAACAGUAAUAAUAAUUUCCGUCAACACAAAAUAUUAUCAACACCAUCUUUAGUAUUAGUAUCACUACUGUUAUUAUUACUAUCAUCAAUGUUAUCUAUUAUUAUUAUUGAUAUUACUAAUUCCAUCAACACAACUUAUUAUCAGCACCAUCUUUACUAUCACUACUGUUAUUAUUAUUACUGUUAUUACUGUUGCCGUCAUCACAAAAUAUUAUUAUCAUUAUUAUUAUACAUGCCAUUACUAUUUAAAUACUUCUACUAUUACUCAUUUGUCAUUUCUGCUUAUUUUUCAUUGCUGUUACUAUCACUGCUGUUUUAUUGUUGUUUUUGUGUUUUGUUGUUGUGUUUUGUGUUCACCCUAUGUAGUAUGUUUUUUGCACUCCUAAUAAAAAAAAAAAAAUAAAAAAAAAACCUUAAUUUAACAUCCAGGGAAGACAAUUAGUUCACAUUUUAUUUUUGGGGGCUGAAGAUUGAUGGACAACGUAUAGUGUUGUGCUGAUUUUUUUUCAUAAAGUAAACAUUGAUUACAAAGCAGUUUUUUUUGUGCUAUUAUAAGCAUGCAAACAUUUAGUGCAAAGCAGCAGAUGUUUUGUUGCUUUGACUUCAUAUACUGUAUGAUUUGAGAAUCAUGUUGCAUUAUG
rnacentral:lncRNA from 12 species